UAGCGAGGGGGGCAAGCGUUGUUCGGAAUUAUUGGGCGUAAAGGGCGCGUAGGCGGUUGCGGUAAGUCACCUGUGAAAUCUCCUGGCUCAACUGGGAGCUUGCAGGCGAAACUGCCGUGCUGGAGUGUGGGAGAGGGUGCGUGGAAUUCCUGGUGUAGCGGUGAAAUGCGUAGAUAUCAGGAAGAACACCCGUGGCGAAGGCGGCUCUCCUGGGACGGUACUGACGCUGAGACGCGAAAGCGUGGGGAGCAAACAGG
rnacentral:rRNA from 1 species